UACGUAGGUGGCAAGCGUUAUCCGGAUUUAUUGGGCGUAAAGGGAACGCAGGCGGUCCUUUAAGUCUGAUGUGAAAGCCUUCGGCUUAACCGGAGUAGUGCAUUGGAAACUGGGAGACUUGAGUGCAGUAGAGGAGAGUGGAACUCCAUGUGUAGCGGUGAAAUGCGUAGAUAUAUGGAAGAACACCAGUGGCGAAAGCGGCUCUCUGGUCUGUAACUGACGCUGAGGUUCGAAAGCGUGGGUAGCAAACAGG
rnacentral:rRNA from 1 species